AGGUUGAUCCCGCCGGACAGGCACUGGUCCGCACGGUCGAAAACAAUCAGGAAACCCUUGCUCCCAAUGCCAAGGCCAUCGGUUCGGAGGCCGUGCCGGGAGAUCCCUCGACAGCAACCCAGCGAUGACCUUCCCCACCAUCCAUUCCGCAAUCCGCAUCGGUCGAUUGGAGUCCCUCCCGUGGAGGAUUUUUUUGACGUUCUCAUUGCUGUGCUUUGGGAUUUCGGUCACCCCCGGAGCAUUGGCUCAGGAUUCCCCGUCGCUUGCCGCAGAGACGGAACGGGCUGUCGUCCGCAGUCAGGAGGAUGUCCUGGAGGCCGAAGCCCUGAUGAAGAGAGCCGAGUCCAAGAGGUUGGAAAAGAACCUUCCGGCAGCCUAUGCCGAUGCCGUUAAGGCAUUGCGGCUUUCCCCCUCUGGAGGGAGUCAGGCAUCGCGCGAACGAAACGCCCUUGUCUCCGGCUAUUCACGCGUUGCCUUGUCCUACUCUCGGGAAUUGAUCGCCCAAGGCCUCUACAUGGAGGCCUCCAAAGUUGCAAAAUCGGUUCUGGAGCCUUCCGUGAAUCCGAACUCGAAGGAGGCACAUCACUGCUCUCGA
rnacentral:rRNA from 1 species